GUGUGUGUGUGUGUGUGUGCUUGGGUUAGUGUGUGUGUCUGCUUGAGUCAGUGUGUGUUUGUUUUCUUGGGCCAGUGUUUGUGUGUGUGUUUGUCUGCUUGGGCCAGUUUGUGUGUAAGUCUAAAUGAGUCAGUGUAUGUCAUGUCUGCUUUAGUCAGUGUGUCUGUCACUCAGCAUGAGUCAGUGAAUGUGUGUGUGCAUUGGUC